AUGGCGGAGCACAAGGAGGAGCCGGUGGCGGAGUCCAUGAUGGACAAGAUCUCCGACAAGUUCCACGGCGGGGACUCCUCGUCGUCCUCCUCGGACUCGGACGACGACAAGAAGGGGCCGGCGGCGGGCGUGAAGGCCAAGAUCUACCGCCUCUUCGGCCGCGAGAAGCCCGUCCACGCCGUCCUCGGCGGCGGCAAGCCUGCUGAUCUUGUUCUAUGGAGGAACAAGAAGGUCUCCGGAGGGGUGCUUGCUGGCGCUACGGCCAUCUGGCUGCUGUUCGAGGUCAUGGAGUACCAUCUGCUCACUUUGGUGGGCCACUGCCUCAUCCUCUCCCUGGCAACACUCUUCCUCUACUCCAAUGUCUGCAUUUUCAUCCACAAGUCUCCCCCAAACAUCCCUGAGGUGAAAAUUCCAGAGGACAUGACUGUAAACAUUGCACUAUCACUGCGGCAUGAGAUCAACCGGGGCUUCUUUACCUUGAGAGAGAUUGGUCAUGGUCGUGAUCUGAAGAAAUUCCUCAUUGUGACUGGAGGGCUCUGGCUUCUUUCUGUUCUUGGGAGCUGCUGCAACUUUUUGACAUUGUCAUAUAUAGUCUUUGUGGUGCUGUACACUGUGCCAGUUCUGUAUGAGAAGUACGAUGACAAGGUUGAUGCUUUUGGUGAGAAGGCCAUGAUCGAAUUGAAGAAGUAUUAUGCCAUCUUUGAAGAGAAGGUCCUGUCGAAGAUCCCGAAGAACAAGAAGCACUAG
rnacentral:rRNA from 1 species